rnacentral:rRNA from 1 species
AUGGAGCGCCUUCCCGGCCGCAAGACCUUGCCGGACAAGUGCAAGAACCUGUGGCACAUCACGGGGCCGGUGAUCCUCACCGGGAUCUUCCAGUUCCUUAUCGAGUUCAUCACCAUGGCCUUCACCGGCCACAUCGGCAAGGUCGAGCUCGCCACCGUCUCCAUCAUCAUCAACGUCAUGGAAGGCCUCAGCUUCGGGCUCCUACUUCGCAUGGGAAGCGCCCUGGAGACGCUGUGCUGGCAGGCGGCGGGGGCCGGGCAGCUCCACGUGCUGGGCGUGUACAUGCAGCGGUCGUGGAUCAUCUGCCUCGCCACGGUGGUCGCCUUGCUACCACUCUACGUCUUCACGGCCCCGAUCCUCUGGCUGCUCCGGCAGUCCCCUGAGAUCUCGGUGGUGGCGGGGCGGUACGCGCGAUGGAGCGCGCCUCGACUGACUAGUAGUCAGUCCCUUUUCCCAAUGCAGAAGUUCUUCCAGGCGCAGAGCCGGGUGUGGGUCAUGACGCUCAUCUCCGGCGCCGCGGUCGCCGUGCACGCGCUGCUCAACUGGGUCGCCGUGGCCAGACUCCGCUGUGGCCUCGUCGGGGCGACCGUGGUUGGCAACGUGUCGUGGUGGCUCCUCGGUUCGGCGCAGUUGGCGUACGUCGUGGGCUGGUCCUUCCCGGAGGCGUGGAGAGUUUUUUUGCGGAAGGCGUUCGCCAGCCUCGGUGGCUUUUUUUUCGAAACGGAGGCAAAAAAAUUGCCUCAUCGAUUAAUUACGAAGACUUAGAAAUGACAACUCAUUCUGGUGGGUUGCUUGAACAACCCAGUGAUUCAAGUUGGGGCCGUGACCAUAUGCACGAACUACAACAUCUGGACACUGACGGUAGCAUUCGGUUUCAAUGCCUCAGUGAGCGUUCGCGUGGCGAACGAACUUGGCGCCAGACACCCAAAAGCGGCCAAGUACUCGGUCAUCGCGGCCGUGACCACGUCGGCCGCCAUCGGGCUCAUCUUCACGCUCGUCGCCCUCGUGGCGAGGAAGCAGCUGCCGAGGCUUUUCACCGACAACGACCUGCUCGUCAAGGAGACCGCGAGACCGGGCUAUCUCCUGGUUGCCACCAUACUCCCCAACAGCGUGCAGCCGGUGUUGUCAGGAGUCGCCAUAGGGGAUGGGUGGCAAUCCUAGCUUGGUGCCUUGGUGAAUGUCGGCUGCUACUAUCUCGUUGGCCUGCCCCUUGCAGCGGUUUUCGGCUUCGAGCUCAAGCUUGACGUGCAGGGGAUAUGGAUGGGGAUGCUGAUCGGCACGAUUCUGCAGACCGUCAUCCUAUUUGUGAUCCUCUUGAGAACCAAAUGGAAGAAAGAGGUAAUGUAUACUCCCUCUUUCGGGACGGAGGGAAUAUAA